ACCCAGCGUGGCGUAGUAGUUUGAGUGUUGGACUACGACUCUGAAGACCAGGGUUCAAAUCUCUGCUUGGAUA